rnacentral:rRNA from 1 species
CGGGGUGGAGUAAUGUCUGGGAAACUGCCUGAUGGAGGGGGAUAACUACUGGAAACGGUAGCUAAUACUGCAUAACGUCGCAAGACCAAAGAGGGGGACCUUCGGGCCUCUUGCCAUCGGAUGUGCCCAGAUGGGAUUAGCUAGUAGGUGGGGUAACGGCUCACCUAGGCGACGAUCCCUAGCUGGUCUGAGAGGAUGACCAGCCACACUGGAACUGAGACACGGUCCAG